AGGGCACCACCAGGAGUGGGGCCUGCGGCUUAAUUUGACUCAACACGGGAAAACUCACCCGGCCCGGACACCGUAAGGAUUGACAGACUGAGAGCUCUUUCUUAAUUCGGUGGGUGGUGGUGCAUGGCCGUUCUUAGUUGGUGGAGCGAUUUGUCUGGUUAAUUCCGAUAACGAACGAGACUCUGGCCUAUUAAAUAGACGAUAUAUUAAAAAGUAUAUCGCACUUCUUAGAGGGACAAGCGGCGUCUAGCCGCAUGAAAUAGAGCAAUAACAGGUCUGUGACGCCCUUAGAUGUCCGGGGCUGCACGCGCGCUACACUGAAAGAAUCAGUGGGCGUUAAACCUAGUUCGGAAGAACCGGGUAACCCAAGUAAAUUCUUUCGUGCUUGGGAUAGGGAAUUGCAAUUAUUUUCCAUGAACGAGGAAUUCCAAGUAAGUGCGAGUCAUCAGCUCGCGUUGAUUACGUCCCUGCCCUUUGUACACACCGCCCGUCGCUGCCCGGGACUGAGCCAUUUCGAGA
rnacentral:rRNA from 1 species